rnacentral:ncRNA from 1 species
UGACCUCAGCUCAGUCGUGAUUACCCGCUGAAUUUAAGCAUAUAAUUAAGCGGAGGAAAAGAAACUAACGAGGAUUCCCAUAGUAACGGCGAGUGAAAUGGGAAAAGCCCAGCGCUGAAUCCAUCGAUCACUGGUCGCUUGGAAUUGUAGCGUAUAGGUGCGGCUGUCCGCUCGUUUCGUGCACCCAAAGUCCCCUUGAGCGGGGCCAUAGUCCAAAGAAGGUGCUAGACCUGUACGGGUGGCGAGACGGUCGGUUGGUCGCUCCUUGGAGUCGGGUUGCCUGGGAUCGCAGCCCAAAGUUGGUGGUAGACCUCAUCUAAGGCUAAAUAUGGCCACGAAACCGAUAGCAAACAAGUACCGUGAGGGAAAGUUGCAAAGAACUUUGAAGAGAGAGUUCAAGAGGGCGUGAAACCGCCGAGAUUGAAACGGAUAGAGUUGACGAAACUCGAUCGCAUUCAUCCGAUCCGCCUAGCGGUUCGGCGGUUGUUGACUUCCUCGAUGAGGGCAACGCCGUCGCUGGCUGUUGGGUGUUAGAUGGGUGUAUUUGCGGUCGGUAUGCGCCGAGAGCUUUGCGAACGCAUGUUGGCGUUGAUGUAGUGGACCACUCCCUCCGGGCGUGGAACCCUGCACUGACUGAGGCAUGUCGUUUGUAGGGUGUUGCUGGUUGACGUCUCCGCUAUGGUGCGUCGGCUUUGUCGGACUGUUGUGGCUACUGGGUGAUCGCAUGCGAGCGCCUGUGGUUUAUGAUCGUACGAUGAGGUGCAGACGCGCUUGAGACGUGCAUCUCGGUGUGAACGUUGACCACCUAUCCGACCCGUCUUGAAACACGGACCAAGGAGUCUAGCAUAUGCGCGAGUCAUUGGGUGGUAAACCUAAAGGCGUAAUGAAAGUAAAGGCUGUCUUGUUACGGCUGAUAUGGGAUCUGUGUGGCUUUCGAGCCAUACGGCGCACCAUAGCCCCGUCCCGGUUGCUUGCAAUGGGGCGGAGGUAGAGCGCAUACGCUGGGACCCGAAAGAUGGUGAACUAUGCCUGAGCAGGAUGAAGCCAGAGGAAACUCUGGUGGAAGUCCGAAGCGGUUCUGACGUGCAAAUCGAUCGUCUGACUUGGGUAUAGGGGCGAAAGACUAAUCGAACCAUCUAGUAGCUGGUUCCCUCUGAAGUUUCCCCCAGGAUAGCUGGAGUUUAUUGUUAGCAGUUAUAUUCGGUAAAGCGAAUGACUAGAGGAAUUGGGGACGAAACGACCUCAACCUAUUCUCAAACUUUCAAUGGGUAUGAAGUCCCGCUUGCUUGACGUUGCUGAAGCGAGGACAUUGAAUGUGAGCUCCAAGUGGGCCAUUUUUGGUAAGCAGAACUGGCGCUGUGGGAUGAACCAAACGUCGGGUUAAAGUGCCAAACUUCCCGCUCAUGAGACCCCAUGAAAGGCGUUGGUUGAUAUAGACAGCAGGACGGUGGCCAUGGAAGUCGGAAACCGCUAAGGAGUGUGUAACAACUCACCUGCCGAAUCAACUAGCCCUGAAAAUGGAUGGCGCUUGAGCGGGAGACUUAUACCCGACCGUUGCUCGGCUUGUGUGUUCCGUAAGGAAUUCGCCUGGCCGCAACGAGUAAGAGGGUCGCAGUGGUUUGCGUCGAAGGCUUUGGGCGUAGGCCCGGCUGGAGCUUCCACUGGUGCAGAUCUUGGUGGUAGUAGCAAAUAUUCAAGUGAGAUCCUUGAAGACUGAAGUGGAGAAGGGUUCCACGUGAACAGCAGUUGAAUGUGGGUCAGUCGGCCCUAAGAUACUGGCUAAUGCCUUGUGUUAUCGAGAGACGGAGUUCAAAUCCAUCUCGUUUAUCGAAAGGGAAACGGGUUAAUAUUCCCGUACCUGGACACGGAGAUAAGCGCUCAUUGCGAGUGUUUAGCGCGGCAACGCAAACGAACUCGGUGACGCUGAAUAGAGCCCGAGCUAGAGUUCUCUUUUCUAGUUAAGGAACGGACUCCCUGGAAUCG